rnacentral:rRNA from 1 species
GACGGGCCCGCACAAGCAGCGGAGCGUGUGGUUUAAUUCGAUGCUACACGAAGAACCUUACCAGGGUUUGACAUGCAAGUGGUAGGAAACCGAAAGGUGACCGACCCUUCGGGGAGCUUGCACAGGUGCUGCAUGGCUGUCGUCAGCUCGUGUCGUGAGAUGUUCGGUUAAGUCCGCUAACGAGCGCAACCCUCGCUGUGUGUUAUAUGUGUCACACGGGACUGCCGGUCUUAAGCCGGAGGAAGGUGGGAUGAUGUCAAGUCAGCAUGGCCUUUAUAUCCUGGGCUACACACACGCUACAAUGGCCAGCACAGUAGGUUGCUAAGCCGCGAGGUGGAGCCAAUCCAUAAAGCUGGUCUCAGUUCAGAUUGCAGGCUGCAACCCGCCUGCAUGAAGUCGGAAUCGCUAGUAAUCGCAGGUCAGCAUACUGCGGUCGAAUACGUUCCCGGGCCUU